GACAGAGGGUGCAAACGUUGUUCGGAAUUACUGGGCGUAAAGCGCGUGUAGGCUGCUCAGAAAGUCGGAUGUGAAAGCCCUGGGCUUAACCUAGGAAGUGCAUUCGAAACUUCUGAGCUAGAGUUCUGGAGAGGAAGGCGGAAUUCUCGGUGUAGAGGUGAAAUUCGUAGAUAUCGAGAGGAACACCGGUGGCGAAGGCGGCCUUCUGGACAGUGACUGACGCUGAGACGCGAAAGCGUGGGGAGCGAACGGG
rnacentral:rRNA from 1 species